AUGAAUGGUGAAAGAAAGGUCCAUUGGGUAGCAUGGCAGAAGAUGUGCGCGAGCAAGCAUGACGAUGGCUUGGGAUUUUGAGACCCGGAGGCUUUCAACCAAGCAUUGUUAGCUAAGCAAGCAUGGCACAUACUACAAGAGCCCACUUCAUUAUGUGCUAGAGUGCUUAAAGCAAGGUAUUUUAUGGACGGUACAAUAUUGUCGGCUACUUGUCCGCCGGCUGGUUCGUGGAAGUGCAUUAUAUUUACUAGAGGGGGGUGA
rnacentral:rRNA from 1 species